rnacentral:rRNA from 1 species
GACGAACGCUGGCGGCGUGCUUAGCACAUGCAAGUCGAACGGAAAGGCCCUGCUUUUGUGGGGUGCUCGAGUGGCGAACGGGUGAGUAACACGUGAGUAACCUGCCCUUGACUUUGGGAUAACUUCAGGAAACUGGGGCUAAUACCGGAUAGGAGCUCCUGCUGCAUGGUGGGGGUUGGAAAGUUUCGGCGGUUGGGGAUGGACUCGCGGCUUAUCAGCUUGUUGAUGGGGUAGUGGCUUACCAAGGCUUUGACGGGUAGCCGGCCUGAGAGGGUGACCGGCCACAUUGGGACUGAGAUACGGCCCAGACUCCUACGGGAGGCAGCAGUGGGGAAUAUUGCACAAUGGGCGGAAGCCUGAUGCAGCAACGCCGCGUGCGGGAUGACGGCCUUCGGGUUGUAAACCGCUUUCGCCUGUGACGAAGCGUGAGUGACGGUAAUGGGUAAAGAAGCACCGGCUAACUACGUG